UACAGAGGUCUCAAGCGUUGUUCGGAUUCAUUGGGCGUAAAGGGUGUGUAGGUGGCGCGUAAGUCGGGUGUGAAAUUUCGGAGCUUAACUCCGAAACUGCAUUCGAUACUGCGGUGCUUGAGGACUGGAGAGGAGACUGGAAUUCAUGGUGUAGCAGUGAAAUGCGUAGAGAUCAUGAGGAAGACCAGUGGCGAAGGCGGGUCUCUGGACAGUUCCUGACACUGAGGCACGAAGGCCAGGGGAGCAAACGGG
rnacentral:rRNA from 1 species